AAAAUUGCUCUAAAAUACUUUAUUGUGAUUGUCGUAACUUUCUGGCACUUUGUGUUUCUCUGUGGGAAAACUCCAGUCGGCCAGAAUAAAAUACAUCAAAGAAUUUUCAGGCCUGGGUCUGCUGAACAGUUUUCUGUGCCCUGAUGGUUGUUUGGUGAGUAACAAAAAAAAAAAAAGAAAAAAAGAAAAAAAGAUAAGGACUGUGAGAAGAGGAAGACGAAAAACAAAAACAAAACCCAACUGGCUCAAAGUUCAGCUGUAGAAUGUUUUCUUUUUUUUCUAUAAGGCUGUAGUGUUCUUUCUGCCAAGUAUGUACGGUUUCCUUUUCCUUUUCUUUCCUCUGGUUUUACAGUAUAUUAAUAUAUUCACCUCCCUCACUUUCCUUUCUUUUGAAAUAACAGCUAUAUUUUUCAAUAAAAGACAAAGCUGGUAAUCUUUAA